GCCACUCAGACGUAGCAAGAUGAUCUCACAGGCUCAGCUCAUCUGGCUGUUAGUGCUCUGGAUCCAGGACUCCAGCGGGGACAUUGUGAUGACUCAGACUCCAGAAUCCCUGGCAGUGUCUCCGGGAGACACAGUCACUAUCCGCUGCAAAGCCAGUUCAAGCCUCACCUGGGGUAGCAAUCACUUACUAGCCUGGUACCAACAGAAAUCAGGACAAGCGCCAAAGCUCCUUAUCUAUGCUGGAAGCUCCUUGCAAUCCGGGGUCCCAGCCCGGUUCAGUGGCAGUGGAUCUGGCACCGAUUACACACUCACAAUCAGUAGGGUUGAAGCUGAAGAUGCUGGAGAUUAUUAUUGUCAACAGCAUUAUGAAACCCCUCGGACGUUCGGUCAAGGAACCAAGGUAGAAAUAAAACGUAGAGACAAUGCCAAGCCUUCGGUGUUCAUCUUUCCCCCAUCAGCCGACCAGCUGUCUGGGGGAUCAGUCACCUUGGCGUGCCUGGUGAAUGGCUUCUACCCAAGUGCCUUGAAUGUGAUCUGGAAAGUGGAUAAGACCACCACCACGACUGGUGUCCUCACCAGCACGAAGCAGCAAGAUUCUUCUGACAGCACGUACAGCCUGAGCAGCACCCUGACGCUUCCGAAAGAUCAGUACAACGCGCACAACGACUAUAGCUGCGAGGUGACGCAUGAAACCGUGACGGGCGCUCUUGUCAAGAGUUUCAAGAGAUCGGAUUGUACGCAGUAGGGGGCUCCCAGGGAAAGAUCCCUGCCGCCUCUUUGCAGCCUUUCUUAUGCUUUGUUUAUGUAACUAUCCGUCUUAUUCUUUUUUUUUUCCUCCCAAAAUAUGGUGACCGAGAUCUUCCAGGUCUCAACUCCUGCCUUACCCCUUGCUAAUGGUACUGGAUAACCAGGCCCUGCCUGAUUUCACCCUGCUGCCUAAUGAGGUUUCCUGCUUUUAUCAUGUUUCAACUUCAAAAAUGAAUAAAUAAAUGAAAUCAAUGAAACAGCA